GAGUCCUUGCUAAUAUCAACAGCCCAAAGGCGUUUCCCUACCACCUGGGAAGGAAAUAUCUUUCUAAAAGAUGGCACACGGCUUUCCUGUUCACCAGCAGGUCUCAAGCAGCAUCUGGCCGCGUCGGGAACUGGUGAGUGCUGUGAUAAGACGAGGGCAGGCAGAGGAGCCUGCAGCCAGAGGCAGCGUGCACCGUCCAGGGUGCAGACUUUCCCCGACACCGUGAGAGUGGCUGCGCACUUCAAAGAGUGUGUGUUUGCCUGUGUGCAAUUAGGAAAGGCAGCUGUGAAGCGAUCAACAUGCCCUCACCCCAUCAAAACCAGGGCAACUCGACUCUGUUGAGGAAACAAACCCCAGCCAUCCCAAGCGGGAGUGAAACGUGAGCCCUGCACAAAACACUGGCAUGGCUUCGGCAGUACCGGGAAACCUGCGUUCCUUCCAGCAGCCUCUGCGGAGCUUCCACUCAGCCAGCAAGCUCAGGUUGCUGAGAUGUUUGUACCUGAUGAGUUUUGUUUCUGUGCUUGCAGUCAGGUGUUCUGCACUGGUGUGUGCUGGGCCUUAGCAGCAAGAGCGGCAGCGGGCCUGGCCUCUCGGGUCUCCUCUCCCACCAAACCUGGAGCUUCACUUCACGUUCCAUUUCUGCGAAAAUGUCCUGAAGACAAAAGCCUACCCCUAACAUUUACAGUACUGUAUGCUAUUCCUCUUUAGACUCUUGCAAUGCUGAUAAUCCAUGCUGUCCUGAAAAUCGCCCUGGGCACCAAGUGCCAAAGUGGAGUGAGUUCACAGUGCCCUUUACUAAUAGGAAGUGAACAAGACCUUCAAAUAAGACCAGGAGUCUGUCACUGAGUUCAGAAUUACAUCACAGAAUUCUAGAGGUGGGCAAGAGAGGCUUGUUGUUGCAUCAUUUUUUUUUUUUUCUAUGACAUUCUAGCAAUCUUCUUCGUCUAGUUCUGAUUGCUGAGGGAUGCACCCAGUUCCAGUUCUGGAAAACUCUAAGGAUUGCAGUGUUAUUUCUAACACUACCUGGAAUUCUCUGAGAAAUUGUUCUUCAAACAAUGAAAGGCUGAAGUUACUCCUUUCCGCAUAUUUUAAUCAGUGUGUGUGUACUUAAAGCUCAUGAGAAAAUGAGUGUUCUAUCCUUUGUUCACACUGAGGUUUCAUUCCUUGCUGUGGAUAGUAUGAAUCUUUGAAUAUUUGGAAACAAUCUUUGGUUUUUACGUAGUGCUCUGAGAUGAUGUAAUGAAAUGUUAUAUUGUAACAUUUUAACCUUGUAAAUGAUUUGACACAUAAAUAUUAUUAUUGUU